rnacentral:rRNA from 1 species
UACGGGGGGGAGCAAGCGUUGUUCGGAUUUACUGGGCGUAAAGGGCGCGUAGGCGGUCAGCACAAGUCAGUUGUGAAAUCUCCGGGCUUAACUCGGAAAGGUCAACUGAUACUGUGCGACUAGAGUGCAGAAAGGGGCAACUGGAAUUCUCGGUGUAGCGGUGAAAUGCGUAGAUAUCGAGAGGAACACCUGCGGCGAAGGCGGGUUGCUGGGCUGACACUGACGCUGAUGCGCGAAAGCCAGGGGAGCGAACGGG